CCCUUAGAUGUUCUGGGCCGCACGCGCGCUACACUGUUUGAUUCAGCGAGUCUUAACCUUGACCGAAAGGUUUGGGUAAUCUUCUAAAGUCAAACGUGAUGGGGAUCGAUCAUUGCAAUUAUUGAUCGUGAACGAGGAAUUCCUAGUAAAUGCAAGUCAUCAGCUUGCGUUGAUUACGUCCCUGCCCUUUGUACACACCGCCCGUCGCUACUACCGAUUGGGUGUGCUGGUGAAAUGUUCGGAUCGGCCGUUUGUCGCGGUUUCCGCGGCUCGUGGCUGAGAAGUUCAUUAAACCCUCCCACCUAGAGGAAGGAGAAGUCGUAACA
rnacentral:rRNA from 1 species